rnacentral:lncRNA from 1 species
GCAGGAAAAUAACAUGACUCACUUUAAUGAAAAUUGCUUACCCCUCUGCUCAAAGAUGAUUUGUUGCAUCAAUUUAAAGAAAGAGGGUAGGCUCCAUAGCACAUUCAGAUUAGUAGUUUGAGAAUGCAUUAUACACAUGAUUGGAUCUUCGAUCCAAAUCCUGUGCAAUACUCAACCAAUCAAAGUACAGGACUCAAUUACUGUUCAAAACUCACAUGACAAAUAAAACGACCAAUCAUUACAGAUUAAUGUGCUGAGCCUAUAUAAGGCUUCUAUAUGCCAUAAUAGAAAUUGGUCUAGCAACAGUCCAAACACUCACAAUAGGUAUGUUAAUCAAUCACUACAAAUUAAUGUGAUGAGUCUACGUAAGUCAAAUGAUUUCAAUAAGCAAUAAUAGAAAUUUGUCUCGCUACAGUCUCAUUGGGGUAGUAAAGUCGGUUCUUCCUUUAAAAUAAAUUUUUUUUGCUAUCUCAUAAUUAUAUAAUACAUAAUGGGUCACUGUGUUCUAAAUUAUAAUUUUUUGCAAUUUAUAAUUAAUCUGAACUUUUGGAGAAGUUUUUCUUAAAAUAUAAGGCAUUUCAUUUAAUUAGUCUUUGAUUCUUAAAAUGAGGAAGUGUUAAAUUUAAACCAUUUGUUUUCGUCAGGAUUUGUAUUCGCGAAGUCAUACCCGAAUUAUUGAACAUUAUGAAACAAUUUUGAGUCUUACACUUUCAACAACAUAUAUAUUCUGAACGAAGUAGAAAUAAUUAAUGUAAGGAAACAAUGUUAAAAAGGUCGAAACAAGAAUCAAAAUAAAACAAUAACAAGUUCUGCUGUGACCGUCAGAGAAAAUGCUUGCGAUAUUUUUUUGUCUCUCUUUACGUUCGUGCUAAAAUUUCUGAGAGGUCAACUUCACCUUUCAUCCUUCUCAGGUCGAUAAAAUAAAGCACCAGUCUUGUACCAGGAUCGAUGAUAACGACUAGUUCUCCUACCCUUCAAACUGCUGAAUUUAUUGCCUAAAUUAGAAAUAUUUUCAAUAGAAAAUUCGCAAUUUACCUACGGGGAGAUAACUAGCAAAGUAGAAGAACAGUAUCAAACAUCGCUUUUGUUAAGAUUUUACCAUUUGAACGAGCUUGUAAUUAUUUUGAUAAUUCCCUACGAAACAAACAGCAUUGUCUUAAUGAAGAAGAGCGAAAUUUAUUAUUUUUUUCCUUUCAAAAAUAUUAAUUCAAAUUUUAAACUGCGAAAGGUUAAAGAAAAUCAAUAUUUACAUUAAGAAAAGGAGUGGGGGGAUCGAAUCAUACGAACGUAAGUUACAAGAAAAUUACCGAAGAUGACUGAAUUUAUGAUUUGGAAAAUGAAAUCACUAACUUGACCGAAGUAGGUUCUUAUAGAUUUCUACUUUUAUUUCUUAACAACACCAUUUGGUUAACCAGCUUAGUAGAAAGUACUACGUUAUAAAUCACCACAUUUCGACAUUCGUCAACAAGACUUCUGUUUUAUAUAUUGUUGGGGCACUUAUAUCUCUCAUUCAUAGAUUUCUCUUAUAAAACUAUUGUAAUAAUAUUCUUGGUUAAUGUUGACAUUAUUACCCGGAAACGAAAAAAAAAAAAAAAAGUGCAAUUAUUCCAAUAGUGUAGGAAACGAAUAUAAAAACAAAAAUGUGCAGAGAGCAACGGGGGUAGGGAGAGGCCUUCGGAAAAUUCACAAGAUCCGAUGUUUUUUCCCUCAUAACUUUUAGGAAAAUGGGGCUUUUUUUAAAUGAAAAUUUAUAUAAAUACCUUUCAAACGGUAUAGAUUACGAUUAUAAAGAAAUUUGUGUGGAAAAUCUUUUCCGAGGGGGUGGGAAGAGGACGUCGAAAAAUUCACAAGAUCCGAAUUUUUCCCUCGUUACUUUGAGGAAUAUAUAAUCCUUUUGAAAUAAGAAAUUAGGCUUUUCCACAGGAACUUAGACGCUAAACAUCUCUUUGAAGGGUUCGGGUCCUUCUACAAGAUAGAUAGAUUAUAUGUAUAUAUAUAGAAGUAAGGACCCGAAUCCUUCAAAGGGAUGUUUAGCAUCCAAGUUCCUAAGGAAAAGCCUAAUUUAUGAUUUCAAAAGGAUUAUAUUUUCCUCAAAGUUACUAAGGAAAAACUCGGGUCUUGCGAAUUUUCCGAAGUCCCCCCCCCCCCCCGUUGCUUUUCGUGCAUUUUUGUUUUCAGAUUCGUUUCCUACGUGGGUGUGCAGUAGAAAGAUAUCCAUUUCCAUCAAAGUUACGAGGGAAAAACAUCGGAUUUUGUUAAUUUUCCGAAUUCCUGUCCCCACCCCAUCGGAAAACAUUUUCCCCACAAAUUUCUUUAUAAUCGUAAUCUAUACCGUUUGAAAAGUAUUUAUAUAAAAUUUCACCAAAGAAAAACCUAUUUUCCUAAAAGUUACGAGGGAAAAACAUCGGAUCUUGUGAAUCUCCCGAAGGUUUCUCCACCCCCGUUCCUUUCCGGGCAUUUUUGUUUUCGUAUUCGUUUCCUAUACCAUUUUUUUUUUACACACGUUGCACUAUUUUUUUUUCUUUUGUUUCCGGGUAAUAAUGUCAACAUUAACCAUAUUCUUUACUUUUCGAAAUACGUUGUCAAAUUCGACAUCAUUUUCUUUUAUCUUUUACUUGUUUCAGUCAUUGGAUUUUGGCCAUGCUGGUGCACCUACUUGACGGAUUAAAUCAAACGAAUCCACCCCAUUAUUUAUUAUUAAAGCCUACGAACCGCUUAGUUACGGUGACGUAAACAAGCCAACAUGCGAUGAUGGGGGGGGGACACCUACAUAUACACACAAACAUAUACACGACGGCCUUUCAGUUUCUUCUACCAAAUCUACUCAUACGGCUUUAGUCGGCUCGGGGCGAUAUAGUAGAAGACACUUGGCCAAGGUGCCAUGCAGUGAGACUGAACCCGGAACUAGAUGGAUUGAAAGCGAACCUCUUGCCACACAUUAUUUAAAAAUAAUAAUUGUUUUAAUUUCUGCUAGAAAUGAGAGUAGAAAUCUAUCAUAAUAAUUUAAAUAUUCCUUCAUUUCGAUCAUUCGUAAGAGCCAAGCCAAGUUAUGCAUUCCCUAUUAUUAGUUUAAUUUUCAAUCUCGCACUUAAAUGUGCCUAAAUCGAAAUUAUUCCAAUUAUUUAGACAAUUUCAAACAAAACUACUUUUGGAGGUGGAGUUUUAGAAAAACGUUUAUGACCUCAUGGAGAAAGAAAAAUGGUAUGUCGGUUUGGGAGCAAAAUGUUAAUAAAAAAAAAAAAAAACUUUUGGGUAACUAAAGGAAAACUAUCCAGUUCCUUCGGUUUUUUGUCUUUUCUGUGACGCGAUAGCUAUUCCAAAAUUCCGCCAUUUUAUUUUACGUGUUAUUGUUUACAUCAUUAUUGUCAGCCAAUAAACAACUUGAAAUAUUUAUUUGAUAACUAUUAUUUACAGCGUUUAAAAGAAGUGUAACAUUUCCCCUGGUAAUUGUUUGUGUCCCCCCCCUCCUUCACCUUAUUUUCGUUCACAGCAAGGACAUUCUAUUUGUCUAGAGAUACGAGGGGUCAAAAGUUUUAACAUUU